CAUCGCCAUCGAAUGAGGCAAGAU
rnacentral:rRNA from 1 species